GUGAGAUGUUGGGUUAAGUCCCGUAACGAGCGCAACCCUUGUCCUUAGUUACCAGCACCUCGGGUGGGAACUCUAAGGGGACUGGCGGUGACAAACCGGAGGAAGGGGGGGAUGACGUCAAGUCAUCAUGGGCCUUACGGGCAGGGCUACACACGUGCUACAAUGGUCGGUACAAAGGGUUGCCAAACCGCGAGGGGGAGCUAAUCCCAUAAAACCGAUCGUAGUCCGGAUCGCAGUCUGCAACUCGACUGCGUGAAGUCGGAAUCGCUAGUAAUCGUGAAUCAGAAUGUCACGGUGAA
rnacentral:rRNA from 1 species